rnacentral:rRNA from 1 species
GACGAACGCUGGCGGCGUGCUUAACACAUGCAAGUCGAACGCUGAAGCUUGGUGCUUGCACUGGGUGGAUGAGUGGCGGACGGGUGAGUAAUACGUGAGUAACCUGCCCUUGACUCUGGGAUAAGCCUGGGAAACUGGGUCUAAUACUGGAUACGACAUGUCACCGCAUGGUGGUGUGUGGAAAGGGGUUUACUGGUUUUGGAUGGGCUCACGGCCUAUCAGCUUGUUGGUGGGGUAAUGGCUCACCAAGGCGACGACGGGUAGCCGGCCUGAGAGGGUGACCGGCCACACUGGGACUGAGACACGGCCCAGACUCCUACGGGAGGCAGCAGUGGGGAAUAUUGCACAAUGGGCGGAAGCCUGAUGCAGCGACGCCGCGUGAGGGAUGACGGCCUUCGGGUUGUAAACCUCUUUCAGCACGGAAGAAGCGAAAGUGACGGUACGUGCAGAAGAAGCGCCGGCUAACUACGUG